ensembl:lncRNA
GAAGGCAUGAGCUUUAAUUGUAGGGUGGAGCUGUAUCUGUGUCUGAGAUACCCUGUCUAAGGCCAGCUUACCUGAGUACACCUUUGGAUGGAUGCUGGGAAGACAAUUUCAUUUCAUCUUUCCUGCCACUCUACACUGACUGACAAGGAAUUCAGCUCAAGGUCACUGUGUAACCUGCACCCAUGUCAUGUCCAAGUGCAUGGAGAUGUAGGUGGAACUGUCUGCCCUGUUGUUAUCUUCCAUGGAAAUAAUGAAGAAGAAACCAGAGGAAAACAAGAAAGUGGGAUUUAUUCCAUCACAACCAAGGGUUCUGCUCACGCUUCUACAUGUCUGCAGGUUGCAGAGACUAUGGCCCAGAGAAAUUUUAAUGUCUCUGAAAACUACAUGAAGUCCUUGUGAGGAGUAAAGCGAAGUGGCAGAUAGAGUGAUGCCUUCUGUGUUCUUGUCUGAAACAUAUCUGCACAGAGAAUUAGGACUUCUGAAGAGACACUGAACUUGAGCCCUCUUAUCAGCGAGCAUAUUCCUUGUAAAGAGAGCCAAGAGACCAUUCUCAGUAGUCCUGGCUCACAGUUACCCCAAAGUGUUUGUAUCCUGAGAAAUUCUUUGCCAGUGUUGUGGAGUGUUCAGUUGGGUUAUUUUUAUUUUGUUUUUCAUAGGGCCCUAUGGUUUGAGAGAGGAUUUUCCUGAUUUCCUGCAUCUUGUAUUGUCAAGAAAAUAUGUAAUCUGAGUAGACAUAAGGAUUUAUGUUUCAGAAAUGUAUUCAAAUGCCAGGACUUGAACUAAAAUAAGUAUUAGACUUGCUUUUACUUCUGCUUAUGUGUCUUUAGAGACUGCUGUUAGGAGGGAUCUGGUGUUUGCAGUACCUUAUACUCCAAAAACAUGUUUUGUAAGUCCACUUCUUUAAAGACAUGGCAUGAUUCCCACUAAAACAAUUAAUAUUUAAAUGCUUAGGUAACUUGUAGAGAGAGUAUGGACCUUCAUUCACUUAUGCCUUGCAAAAACUGCAGGUGUGUAAGAAUAAUUUUUUACUUUUUUGUUACUGUGUGGAAGUCAAAUCAUCCUGUGUCAUCUCAAAAGCUAUAAUUAUUUUUCCAUGAAAAAUAUCUUUCAGAAAAAGCCCCAAACCUAUAAACAGCAAAGUGGUGGCUACAUUUUUCUUUUCUUGGACUGAUAAUGUAUGCACUUCUAAGCACUGGGCUGGCAGUGUGCAGAAGGGUGAAACAUGUUUCUAGGUAGAGGUUUGCUUUGGGUCUUCAAUGGUCACAAUGGGCAAGGUUGAAUUUUGCUGCUUUGCAUUAGUUUUUUCAAAUUAAAAACAAAAAGAGGAGCCAGAAAUUUUGCGAGGCAAAAGCAAGCUGAAAGACAAAGUACUGCUUUGCACUUUUAGCAAGAUACAGAAAUCUGGUCUAAGAGAACUGAACUUUAAAUUACAUUAAAAAAAUCCAAAAGAGAAUUAAAUAGCUUUUUCACUCCAAUUUUAUUUGAAACUUGCACAGAAAGCAUACAUGUUUUCUUGGAUUAGUGUUAGUUUAGAAAGUAUCUUAGUCCUAUGCUGUUUGACGUGACUGAGGAAUGAGGAAUGAGUAUCAGAUUUUUCAUGCUUCUCAGGAAUCUACAGUCAAAUAGGACUUUAUCAUCAUACAAGGCUUUAUGUCCUAGCAGUCAUGCAUAUGAAUAUUUCUGUUCACUCUGGGAAUGUCAGAAGAAUCUCACAGAUGCCUCUUGAAAUGUUAAAGCUGUUGAAAAACAGAGCUCCUCCUGGGCUGUCACGGACAAGCCAGCUGGGUGCCCUCUUCUUGUCGUGCUCAGCCCCCCUCUCUGGGCAAUCAACCUUGACAGUGACUCUUGCUGCCCCCUCCUAAGUGUGGGAUCUGUCAGAACAACUUUGGCACCAUUAAGCAACUAAACAAUCAACAGAUAUAGAGUGAGUUGCAGACAAGGAAUAAGAAACCUACUGGAGACAGAUGAAAUUCCCUAAAUCUCUCUCCCCAGAGACAAAGGAAGACUGUGCAAGUGUUUUCCAGACUAUUGGACAAACUCAGCUUUACAAUAGAAGAUGUGGAGAAUAAAAAAAAGGUAGUAAAAUGCCA